GUGAGCUAAAGGAGAGAGGCCGUGAGCUGUGGGAGGCAGCUUCCCAGCUAAGAGUUACGGGAAGAGAGGCAGCUAAGGGCCAGGGGGGAGCUGGGAGGAUGUUGUUCAGCUGAGGGAGAAUGGAGGUUGCAGACGUAAGGGGAAGAGGAGAAGCUGCAGGUGGCGUGCAGCAGCAGAAGAAAAAGGGAAGAGGUUGCUUGCACUCAAUCUUGUUCAGCUGGAGCAGAAGAAGCAGCAGGUGGGGAGCUGUGACCAGCAGUCCAUGAGCUGACCUGAACAUCUGAAAUUUUCUUGAAUUGCUCAUGAACCUUUCAGUCUAUGUGAUAUUUUUCUUUGAUCCCUACAUGAGUUAGGCACAUCCUCUUAAAAUUUGAAGAUCGUUCGACUUUGGGAAGUGCCCGAAGCAAUUUUUCUUCGACAGCUAGCCAAAACCAGGAAAUUCGGUCCUGACUUGUGAGAAAAUAUUUGAUUCUAUACUAAUCUAGCCAAAACAAUCUCCCAUUUUUUUCUGAA